UCUAGGAGCAGAGUGUGAGUGCAGGUAGGCUGGUAUAAGUGCACACAGACUGAACUCUAUAACAGCAAACACAGGAAGCCUGCCAAGUCGUCUUCAUGCAUCUGUCUUUAUUUAGAAACCCUGAUCACCGCAAUGGCAUGAUGUCAAGGUCAUUUGGUCAUGUGCUGCGGCCCGCCUGACACCAUCCGAUGGCCCCUCAGCAAUACCCAGACCCCACUUUGGAAAACGGAAGACGGAAAACUUCCUAGAUAAUUGACUGUAGAAAAACUGUCAUGAGCAGAAGUUUAACCCCUUCAACUGUAAAAAUGAAUGUGCACGCCAGAUCUCCCUUGCUAACAGACUUGCCAACCAUUCUUUUGGAUUAACCCUUUUGUUGUUUGCCUGGAAAUGGAAUCGCCCAUAGCAAAUCUCCUUACAUCUAAUUUAGAAGACAGCCCCCUGAUGCCAGAGGCCCAGCCCCGCCGUGGGAAGAGAACUGCUCCCUGCCUGCUGACAGCAGAGCGCUUGUACUACAAGGACUGGCCAACGAACAAACUCCUGAAAGCGCUAUUCGACAGGGAUAUGGCAAUUCCAGCUGAAUUGGACAAGAGUUUGAAGGAGCUUGUGACAGGAAAUAGCGUUGCGGUGAUGUCAGGCCAGAAGGCGGAAG